AACGAACGCUGGCGGCACGUUUUAAGCAUGCAAGUCGAAUGGCAGUGGGGGCAACUCCAUGAGAAUGGCGAACGGGUGAGUAACACGUAGGUGAUCUGCCUGACGGAUGGGGAUAGCUUGUGGAAACACAGGGUAAUACCGAAUGAGCUGACGAGACUUUGGUUUUGUUAGUAAAGGUGCUACGGCACCGCCGACAGAGGAGCCUGCGGCUGAUUAGCUAGUUGGUGGGGUAAAGGCCUACCAAGGCGACGAUCAGUAGCCGGCCUGAGAGGGUGUACGGCCACACUGGAACUGAGACACGGUCCAGACUCCUACGGGAGGCAGCAGCUAAGAAUCUUCCGCAAUGGGCGAAAGCCUGACGGAGCGAUGCCGCGUGAUCGAUGAAGGUCGAGAGAUUGUAAAGAUCUUUUCUACAUGAGGAAUAAGUCUGGGAGGGAAUGCCUGGAUGAUGACGUUAGUGUAGGAAUAAGCCCCGGCUAAUUACGUGCCAGCCGCCGCAGUAA
rnacentral:rRNA from 1 species